rfam:Lupinus angustifolius cultivar Tanjil contig_1835, whole genome shotgun sequence.
AGGUGCGAUCAUACCAACACUAAUGCACCAGAUCCCAUCAGAACUCCACAGUUAAGCAUGCUUGGGUGAGAGUAGUACUAGGAUGGGUGGCAUCAUAGGAAGUCCUCGUGUUGCACCUC